CCGAUCCACAGAGGAGCCGGGUCCAGUGUUACUGGAAUUAAAGCUAAAGCCUGCGCUCUGUUGUUAUGGUAAUCCUCACACAAGACAACACAACCACGAUCUGCAGGGGCAGCAAUGUUGCCACGGUGAUAAACAUCACUCGAAACAUCGGUGGAGAGAGCCUCAAUUAAGGUGUGGAUGGAUGGAUGGGAUUCCAGUGUGAGAGCAACAAAGAGGAGGAGGAUGACGUUUCUACUUUUAUGUUGGCGUUCAAAUGGGAAAUGUUGAUCAGAUGGUGACAGGUGUUCCAGCAGGAUCAUACAGCCAGGAAAGACCAGUCUACGGAGCUCAGGACAGAUGGUGACAGGGGUCUCAUCGGGUUCAGGCAGCCAGGGUAGACCAGUCUGUGACAGCGCAGAGGUGAACUACUGCCGAUGGAACACUUUAUUCUCUCUGUGCAGCAAACACUGGACAAGAAAGAAGCUUCAAAUCACGGACAAUAUUUUAAGGCAGUCUGACGAACCUCUGAAGUUGAUUUCCAAACUGUAUCAAGGGUUGAUAGAGGCUUUUCCCGAUGAGACAAAACAUGAAAAAUAAAAAUGUGAGGAAGACCUGGGAGACACUAUUGAUGAUGAUGAAGGGAAACAUAUAUGUUAGAAUGUCGAGUCAUGUUCAUAUAAUAAACAUAAAUUACUGCA